rnacentral:rRNA from 1 species
AGUGAGGAAUUUUGCGCAAUGGGGGAAACCCUGACGCAGCAACGCCGCGUGAGUGAAGAAGGCCCUUGGGUCGUAAAGCUCUGUCAACUGGGAAGAAGUUGUUAUUGUUUAAUAAAUGAUAGCAUUGACGGUACCAGUGGAGGAAGCGCCGGCUAACUCCGUGCCAGCAGCCGCGGUAACACGGGGGGCGCAAGCGUUAUUCGGAAUUAUUGGGCGUAAAGGGCGCGUAGGCGGUUCUGUCGGUCAGAUGUGAAAGCCCGGGGCUCAACCCUGGAAGUGCAUUUGAAACAGCAGAACUUGAGUACGGGAGAGGAAAGCGGAAUUCCUGGUGUAGAGGUGAAAUUCGUAGAUAUCAGGAGGAACACCGAUGGCGAAGGCAGCUUUCUGGACCGAUACUGACGCUGAGGCGCGAAGGCGUGGGUAGCGAACAGGAUUAGAUACCCUGGUAGUCCACGCAGUAAACGAUGUUCACUAGGUGUAGCGGAUAUUAAAAUCUGCUGUGCCGCAGCUAACGCAUUAAGUGAACCGCCUGGGAAGUACGGUCGCAAGACUA